rnacentral:hammerhead_ribozyme from 1 species
AUCCAGCUGACGAGUCCCAAAUAGGACAAGUCGCGCGUCCUGGAU